rnacentral:tRNA from 1 species
ACCUUGAUGGCUCAGUUGGUUAAGCAUCUGACUUCAGCUCAGGUCAUGCUCUCACGGUUCGUGGGUUCGAGCCCCAUCUCAGGCU